CAGCAGCCGCGGGAAUACGUAGGUGGCGAGCGUUGUCCGGAUUUAUUGGGCGUAAAGGGAGUGUAGGCGGUCUUUUAAGUCUGAUGUGAAAGCCCACGGCUCAACCGUGGAGGGUCAUUGGAAACUGGGAGACUUGAGUGCAGAAGAGGAGAGCGGAAUUCCAUGUGUAGCGGUGAAAUGCGUAGAUAUAUGGAGGAACACCAGUGGCGAAGGCGGCUCUCUGGUCUGUAACUGACGCUGAGGCUCGAAAGCGUGGGGAGCAAACAGGAUUAGAUACCCCAGUAGUCCCUGUCUCUUAUAU
rnacentral:rRNA from 1 species